UGCCUUCAAUGCCCUUUAUCAAAACAAGUGCACAAAGCUAAAAUGAGUAGGCAAUGAUAAAUCAACGUGAUAAAGAAAAUGGCUGCACGGUGCUUUUCUUAAAAAUAAAAGGAAUCAAAUCAGCAACAAAAAUAAAUUAAACUUCAGUAGUAAUUCAAUGUUUGAAAGCUUCCUCUUUUUCUCCACCGUGUGCUGGAAUCAAAGAAAAAUACAAUGCAAAAGUA
rnacentral:lncRNA from 1 species